UACAUUGAAUAUUUUAAUUUGUUUUAGAAGUGACGAAGACGUAAAGAAGCGAGGAGAGAAAGGAAGAACCGCACAAAUUUCUAUCAACAGAGACACAGAAACAUCAUUCAAUAAAAUAUUCAUAGUUAAUCAACAUUUUGCAAGUUGGAAAAAAACGAUAAAUUAAUUUAAUUCGAUUGUUUUUUUGUGAGUGCUUCGAAUAGUUUUAGUUAUCAAAAUGUGCGGAGGUUUUACGUGCUCGAAAAACGCUCUUAUUGCACUCAAUAUCCUUUAUGUGCUAGUGGGCUUCCUUCUGAUUGGAGUUGGAGUUUAUGGACGGGCAGCUUCCAUCGUAACAGAUCUGCCCAUUGUCAGCGGGAUCCUAGCAUGUGGAGUUAUAUUGAUUUUAAUUUCAAUGUUGGGUCUGGCGGGAGCUGUGAGACAUCAUCAAGUUAUGCUGUUUUUCUACAUGAUCAUCCUUUUCCUAUUGUUUCUCAUUCAAUUUUCAAUUGCCAGUUCAUGUUUGGCAGUUAAUUCGGCCCAACAACAAGAACUAGCCGAACAAGGAUGGAAUAAUGUUCCAAAUUCAAUUCGAAAAGAAGUCCAAGACACCUUCUUUUGUUGUGGCUUCAAUUCCACAACAAUCUCGACUGAUGAUACAUCAUGUGAUAUAAUUAAAAAACAAUGUUGUAAUGAUCCAUUUGAUGCGAAUUGUCAAUGCCCGCCGUGUCUACCAAUGCUCGAGGAUAAAAUCGAUUAUGCAUUUAAAUUAUGCGGAAGUGUUGGAAUAUUUUUCAGUUUUACUGAGUUUGUUGGUGUUUGGUUAACUGUUCGUUAUCGAAAUCAAAAGGAUCCUCGGGGAUUGCCAAGUGCAUUCCUUUAAAAUAGAGAUUCUCUUCAUUCACCUUCAUUUCCUCAGCAAUUUUUAACAUCGCUUUAAGUUGAUACGAGAUUUAACAAAAUAGAACAGAUAAUAAUACAAAAUAUUAUGAAGAUGAUGAUAAAUUAUUGAACUUAAACAUAAGAGUCUCCCCGUGUGUAUGGUGUGUGUUUAAAAAUAACCAUUUAUUAUAAAAAAUCAUGAGCAAAACAUAACAAAAAACGCGCCAGUGUGUUAUUAAUAUUAAUUAAUCGAAAGUUUUAUUUAAUCGACAAAAACAAAAAAAAAAACAAUUAACCGUUUGUGUUUGUUGUGCUUGUAAACUAAACUUAAGCUUGUAUCGCAAUUUUGGAAAAACGAAUUAUUUUGUAUCAUUUUUGGGCCUUGAUUUUUGAACUCCUUUGAAAAACUAACUAUUUUUUUAGGUUAUAGCAGUUUUUAUAGCUCGUCGUUACAGAAAUCAGCAUGAUCCUGCCUAUUUACCCGCUCGCGCAGUUUUUCCCGCCAGAGGUUAUAUCUACUAGUCGAAUGUAUAAAGGCUCUAAAAAUGUUGUUUGUGUACCUGCAAAGCUAUACGAAUUAUGACCACCAAUAUUUCGAAAUAUUAUUUAUAUCUUUUUAUAAAGAGUUUUGCAGAACUUCAUAUAUUUGAAAAAAGAAAAAUGAAUAAACCAAAAUCCUUUCUCCCAAAGGCUGACAAUGAUUUCUAACUAGAGAUUCAGAUUCCCUCAUUAUAAGCUGGUCUGUCUGAUUUUAUUGCAAUAAUUUAAAUUUCUGAGAUUAUUUUUGUUUGUAUAGUUUUAUAUUAUUUUAUAAUUUUAAAGCUAAUGUAUGUGAAUAUUUUUAUGUUUUACAAAAUUGAUGUUUAAGUGUAGGUGUAUGUUUUAUGACAGCUAUUUAUAAUAUUAUUGUCGUUAUUAUUUUUUAAUCACAAUCGAGUCUUAAUUAAUUAAUUAUUGUUCCUUAAAAUACAUAAAUGAACUCUUAAAAUAACUUAAAACGAACAAAGAAAAAGCUACAACUUGAAAAUGUUACAAAGAGAUUAAUAUAUGUAUGUCUAAUGUUUAGUGUACCUACCAUUUUAUCCUAUAUAACAAAAUGUAGUUUCAAUAUUAGUUGCUACGUGUUUACCUCCAUAUUAUAUAUAAAAAUAAAAGCAAGCAAAAUAGAAAAGAAAAAAACCUACCUAUUAAAAAAGAUAUAAAAUGAAAAAUCUCAGAAUAAUAAAAUGUGUGUCUUUUCUAGUGUAUCCUAAUUUCGCUUAUUACAACAAAAUAAAAAUAAUAAUAAUAAAUAUUUUAACAAGAAAACAUAGAUUAUUAUGAAAGAAAAUGCUUUUGAAAAAAUAGAAUAAAUAUUAUUAUUAUUAUACAUUCAAACAAUACAUCACUUAUAUUAAACAAUAAAAUAAAAAACACGUUAAAUUUUAAACCAGAACAAAAACAAAAGAAACAAAAGCAAAUUAUUAUAAAAAACACACAAACAAAAUACAUUCAUUCAAACAUAAAUAAUUCUUUGUAUUCCGUGCUGUGAUUGAAAUAUAACGUCUUAACAAAAUAAA